AACGAACGCUGGCGGCAUGCCUAACACAUGCAAGUCGAACGAGAUCUUCGGGUCUAGUGGCGCACGGGUGCGUAACGCGUGGGAAUCUGCCCUUUGGUUCGGAAUAACAGUUGGAAACGACUGCUAAUACCGGAUGAUGACGAAAGUCCAAAGAUUUAUCGCCAGAGGAUGAGCCCGCGUAGGAUUAGCUAGUUGGUGUGGUAAAGGCGCACCAAGGCGACGAUCCUUAGCUGGUCUGAGAGGAUGAUCAGCCACACUGGGACUGAGACACGGCCCAGACUCCUACGGGCGGCAGCAGUGGCGAAUAUUGGACAAUGGGCGAAAGCCUGAUCCAGCAAGGCCGCGUGAGUGAUGAAGGCCUUAGGGUUGUAAAGCUCUUUUACCCGGGAUGAUAAUGACAGUACCGGGAGAAUAAGCUCCGGCUAACUCCGUGCCAGCCGCCGCCGUAA
rnacentral:rRNA from 1 species